AUACGUAGGUGGCAAGCGUUGUCCGGAAUUAUUGGGCGUAAAGCGCGCGCAGGCGGUCCUUUAAGUCUGAUGUGAAAGCCCCCGGCUCAACCGGGGAGGGUCAUUGGAAACUGGGGGACUUGAGUGCAGGAGAGGGAAGUGGAAUUCCACGUGUAGCGGUGAAAUGCGUAGAGAUGUGGAGGAACACCAGUGGCGAAGGCGGCUUCCUGGCCUGUAACUGACGCUGAGGCGCGAAAGCGUGGGGAGCAAACAGGAUUAGAUACCCUGGUAGUCCACGCCGUAAACGAUGAGUGCUAAGUGUUAGGGGGUUUCCGCCCCUUAGUGCUGCAGCUAACGCAUUAAGCACUCCGCCUGGGGAGUACGGCCGCAAGGCUGAA
rnacentral:rRNA from 1 species